rnacentral:rRNA from 1 species
GACGGGGGAUGCAAGCGUUAUCCGGAAUCACUGGGCGUAAAGCGUCUGUAGGUGGUGAUGCAAGUCACUGGUGCAAAACUCUGGCUCAACCGGAGGAAAGCCAGUGAAACUGCAUGACUAGAGGGUGGGAGAGGUAGAAGGAAUUCCCUGAGUAGCGGUGAAAUGAGUAGAUACAGGGAAGAACACCGGAGGCGAAGGCGUUCUACUGGAACACAACUGACACUGAGAGACGAAAGCUAGGGGAGCGAAUGGG